CUGAACUUUAAAAUGAGACGUAUCUCAUCAGAGUCUCCUUUGGAUACAAACUGAUGAUAGAAUGUUUUAUCCUUCUUGUUGAUGAGCUGAACUCAUUAUAUUUCUCCUCCAACAGAAAUAUCCACAGUACACUCUGACAGUACAGGCAGCAGAUAUGGGGGGAGAAGGGUUAUCUGGACAAGCACAAGUAAUCAUCAAGGUGGUGGAGAGCCAGUAGUCCUGAAAAAGCGUCAGGUCUCCUGUUCCUGCUUGAGAAGCGGAGAGAAGGAGCACGAAGACAUCAGAGACAUCUAUCACUGGCUGAUUCUACAUGACGCUCUCUUCAUAUGCAUGUGUGAAUGUUAGAUAGAAAGCACUUACAUAGAAAAAAAGUGCUUGUGUGAAUGGGUGUGAAUGCAUGAAUGAGGCAGGUUGUGUAAAGAGCUUUGAGUGCUCAGAUAGAGUUAUAAAAGUGCUAUAUAAGAACCAGCCCAUUUAUCAUUCAUACGAGCAUUUAAAAUGAUCAAAGCUGAUUUGUCAGUGAUCAUGUGACAAUAAAUUCACAGCAUAGUUAUUAUUCACAUGUAAGCAUUUCGUAGGUGGUGGGAAGUUCUGCAUAUGUGUCUUAGAAAACUUCCACGGGGAGCUGUGUAUCUGCUACUUUUCUUUUCCAUGAUUAUCGUGGGACUAGAAUGCUAGCGAGCACUCCUUCAAGUGAUUUUCUUACUCUGUUUGUCAAAGAAAACAAAAGAUUCAAAUGGUGUAAACCACAGUCAGCAGCUGCAUAAACAAUAGAUUUGAUGAUGUGUUGGAACAUGAUCAUGCUGUCACUGAGGAAUAUACUUCUUUAUAGUAACUGAAACAUAUAUAACUAAUUAAGAGUAUCGGUAUCCGAACAUAAAAGUUCACAGUUGGUUAUGUCCAAAAGUAUCUAUAAAUUUCAAAGAAAUUAAGUGCUGUUACUUUGUCUUGAUGCACACUCAAAAUAAAGUACUAUUACAUCCACUUACAAGUUUGUAGAAGAAACUUGUAAGUGGAUGUUGUGUAGAAAGUCGAGAUAUUUUGGAGGAAGUGUAUGAUGACAGGGAUCAUUUUGCUGUUAUGAGACAUGCCAAAUGUUAUUUCAGAUCCAGUUACCACUUCAUGAAUUGAAAACACAAUCCAGUCUGGUUUAAAAUAUACCUGGUGCUGCAUAUUAUUUUUACUUAAUAACAGGGUUUUACUGCAAUUAUAAUUUUUAUUCAUAUCAUUUUUAGUGAGCUUUUCCCAGCAAAUAAACUGACUAACACAGAUAAAUAUAUUCCUGCAAAAACUAUCAACGCAUGUCCGCUUUGACUUCAGAGAAAUCCUUAUUCAGCCUAAAGAUCAGAAAACAGAACUAUCUCUAUCAUUGCACCAACCUUUACAUUUGUCAAAUAUCAGUUUUUUAUUACCUAUAGACAUAUUACCUUAUGUCUCAACAUAAGAACCACAUGAGUGCUGGGAACCCAGGUUACCCAGCAGAAAAUGGCAUUGUGACAAAACAGCCAGUGUUAAUCACCAGUAAGUUUUUUAACAUUGUGGCCCAAUACCGUAUAGUCACAGUUCUUCUAAUAUGGCCUGCUGCAUAAAACACAAAUUAAAUAAUAUAUAUGUACUAUACAUGUAUAAGAAAAGAAAAUGGGAUUGUUGCUCUUUUUUUUACAGUAACUGUCUAUCUCUUGCUCUUGCUAUGCUGCCUCUUGUAUCCUUUCAGUCAAAGCCAAUAAAAUUACGCUUUGAAAAUCA